AGUCGAGGGGCAGCAUGAACUUAGCUUGCUAAGUUUGAUGGCGACCGGCGCACGGGUGAGUAACACGUAUCCAACCUGCCGAUGACUCGGGGAUAGCCUUUCGAAAGAAAGAUUAAUACCCGAUGGCAUAGUUCUUCCGCAUGGUGGAACUAUUAAAGAAUUUCGGUCAUCGAUGGGGAUGCGUUCCAUUAGGUUGUUGGCGGGGUAACGGCCCACCAAGCCUUCGAUGGAUAGGGGUUCUGAGAGGAAGGUCCCCCACAUUGGAACUGAGACACGGUCCAAACUCCUACGGGAGGCAGCAGUGAGGAAUAUUGGUCAAUGGACGAGAGUCUGAACCAGCCAAGUAGCGUGAAGGAUGACUGCCCUAUGGGUUGUAAACUUCUUUUAUACGGGAAUAAAGUGAGGCACGUGUGCCUUUUUGUAUGUACCGUAUGAAUAAGGAUCGGCUAACUCCGUGCCAGCAGCCGCGGUAAUACGGAGGAUCCGAGCGUUAUCCGGAUUUAUUGGGUUUAAAGGGAGCGUAGGCGGACGCUUAAGUCAGUUGUGAAAGUUUGCGGCUCAACCGUAAAAUUGCAGUUGAUACUGGGUGUCUUGAGUACAGUAGAGGCAGGCGGAAUUCGUGGUGUAGCGGUGAAAUGCUUAGAUAUCACGAAGAACUCCGAUUGCGAAGGCAGCUUGCUGGACUGUAACUGACGCUGAUGCUCGAAAGUGUGGGUAUCAAGCAGGAUUAGAUACCCUGGUAGUCCACACAGUAAACGAUGAAUACUCGCUGUUUGCGAUAUACAGUAAGCGGCCAAGCGAA
rnacentral:rRNA from 1 species